UACGUAGGGGGCAAGCGUUGUCCGGAUUUAUUGGGCGUAAAGAGCGUGUAGGCGGCCAUGUAGGUCCGUUGUGAAAACUCGAGGCUCAACCUCGAGACGCCGAUGGAAACCAUGUGGCUAGAGUCCGGAAGAGGAGAGUGGAAUUCCUGGUGUAGCGGUGAAAUGCGCAGAUAUCAGGAAGAACACCCGUGGCGAAGGCGGCUCUCUGGGACGGUACUGACGCUGAGAUGCGAAAAGUGUGGGGGAGCAAACGGGG
rnacentral:rRNA from 1 species